rnacentral:misc_RNA from 1 species
GCCCGUCAACGUUUCGUUCACUAAGCCAACAGACGGCAGCGUGUAAUGAUGUAAUACAGUGACACCUGGUGGUAGAAGAUUUUUUUUAUUUUUCACACUCGAGCCUGGUCAAACUGAAACACCAAAACAUUUUCAACACUCGGACCAAUUGGUUCGGCAAUUUUGAUUUUAAUCGGUGUGUGACUCAUUUUCUACUCAAUCGUGUCGUGUGUGUGUGACAGCAUUUGUGAGUGGGUGGAAAAAUUUAAACUAAAUCAGUAGUUUUCUCUGCUCACAACUUGUUAAAACUAUUUUCAAAAAAAAGACAAUUCGGUCUCUCCCGAACGACGAUGACAUCCGCAUGUCUGCUGCUACUCGACUAACGCUGAUGUACGACAGCAGACAACACUGCGCGCCACCUUACACCGACAACGUGCACGACGCUGCAUCUGCUGCCCGGUUGGUGAAUCGCCACCAAUCCGACAAAAGGAACGUUGUGAGUGGAGUUUUGGAAGGUGGAUCGAGCAGAACGCCGGAAGAGGAAGAAGAAGAGGAAAACGAUUAUUACCAGCAUCGGAGACGGUUGCAUCUGCUGGACAAGAAGAAUCUGUCGAGUGGCCGGCGGAGUAGUAGCAGCAGCACUGUCGAGCAGCAGCGGAAUUGUUAUCCAACCGGCCAGGAGAAGAACCAAACAGCCGCCGAGGAGGAGUCGACCAACAGGACUACUCCUGGCGGGCAGGCCGGCAGUAGUAGUAGGCGGAAUCCUCCACCACCAGCAGCACCAGCAGCCGUAACAAUUCCACCUGCCGCCACAAUGUCGACCAAGAGCAUGGGUGGCGUUGGUGUUGGCCGGUCCAGCAGCAACAACAACAACAACAAUCCGACGACUGGAUUGUCGGACGACAGCCAGCAGUAUUGCCUGCGCUGGAACAAUCACCGCUCGAAUUUGCUGACGGUUUUCGAGCAGCUGCUGCAGACGGAAGCCUUUACGGACGUGACGCUGGCCGUCGGCGGGACUUCGAUCAAGUGCCACAAGAUGGUGCUGGCCGCUUGCUCGUCCUACUUCCAGUCGCUGUUCCUGGAGAACGCCUGCCCGCACCCCAUCGUCGUCUUCAAGGACAUCCAGUACGCCGAGAUCCGGGCCAUCCUCGAGUACAUGUACCGCGGUGAGGUCAACGUCGCCCAGGAGCAGCUUCCGUCGCUCCUCAAAGUGGCCGAAGCCUUGCGAGUCAAGGGGCUCUUUGAGGACGACUCGCUCAAUGCUUCCGGCGGAGACCGAGAGCCGCUCUAUCCUCCACCGGCUUCUUCCGGCCUCUUGUCCAGCACGUCGGUCAACGUCACGGCAGGUGGCGGUGGUGUCCAUCACGCCGGACCCGGCAGUCACGGUAGCAGUUCAGCCUCUCCUCCUCAGUCUACCUCAAUCAACGCUCAUCCACCCAUCAUCCGAUCUACCUCAGGUCACCAUUUGCCCGUCUCUUCCUCGUCGAGCUCAGCCGCAGCCGCCGCUUCAUCCGCAGACCGGAAUACCCCGUCACAUCGUUACCCGGGCAACGCUGCCGCCGGCGCCGGAUCGGCCGAGAACCACCACAACCAUCACCAUCAUCACCACAGUCGCAACAAGAGUCCCAGCCCGACUAGCCCGCCGGAACGAUCCAGCAGCAGCAGCCACAUUCGAGGCGAUCCGGAAUCAUCCUAUUCGCGUCAUCCAUCGUCUUAUCUCUACAAAUCGCCGCUGCUGAGCCCACAGGGGAGCGAGCAAGGCGGAAGAGAUGAUCGCCGAGAUGGCGGCAGCAGCACUACCAACCGGGAUCGCGAGAGCGCCGGAAGCGCCGGAAAUAACAAUCCGCUGAGCAUGUGGCCGCCGCUGGUGAUGCCGCUCCAUUUGGGAGCCUUUGAAACGGCCCUGCGUGAGCGCGAGCAAGCGCUGGCCCUGUACGGAGCCAUCCAGCGCGGAAGCGGUGGAUCGAACGCUGGCGGAGACGAUCGUGAACCCUCUAGCGGCAACGGACGCGGCGGCAAUGACCAUCACUUUGACAGCCGCCACAACGACAAUGGCGGAGGAGCGUCGAAGCGCAAGCGUUUAUCGAUCGCAUCCGGCGACAGCGAUCAAACUCCGUCGCUACUCCGCACCGUUCUCGGCCCCCAUCACGGCUCGUCGAAACACCACCAUCACGCCGACAUACCGGGAUUGUUUCCCUUCCGUCUGAGCGCCGCUGCCGCAGCGGCUGCAGCCGCCGAAGGAUCGGGAUCGGCCGAUGAUCGCAAUCAUUUGAGCAGUUACCUUCCCAUGGCCAUGGCUUACGCCGAGAGACAAGCUGGCCGUGAUCGCGAUCGUGCCGAUGAUGAUUGGACACAGAAUCCUGACAUGAAUUCGGAAGACGAUCCCAGCGAAAUUAGCGGCGAAUAUGGGCACCCUGUUCCCUCAUCGCCCUUGUCAGAUAAACGAGUGGACGCCUCUGGUGCUCGAAUUGCGGCUUAUGUGCCGACCCAGAAACUGGAAUGGAAACGCUACAAGCAGUACACCAACAGCGACAUCACGGCGGCCAUUGAGGCCGUCAAGAGCGGAAUGAGCGCCUUGCAGGCCUCUAGGAAAUUCAAGGUGCCGUCGCGCACUCUGUACGACAAGGUGAAGAAGCUGGGCAUCGCCACGACGCGGCCCUACAGUCGAGUGUCGUCGUCGACUUCAUCGUCGGCGGCGGCGGCGGCCAACGCGGCCGCCAAUUCGGCAGCCGCCGCUGCCGCCGCAGCCGCCGCUCUCAACGCGGCCAAUCAAAAUAAUUUCGCCGCUUCGACGGCGGCGGCCCUGACGUCGGCCAUGGCGGCCGCCGCCAUGUCGCUGGUGAAACGCGAGCGCGGACCCGUCAUCCAGGUGGCCGGAAGCAGUCGUCACGAAGCGGCAGCCGCCGCGGCCAUUGUGGCGGCCGCCGCCAGCUCUGCGGGCAAUCAGGAUCGCGAGGAGGAUUUGCCGGAAUCGAAUUGCGGUCCGGCCGACUACAGCGAGGACAGCCGCCAGGAGAGUCCGGAGAAUUUGACGAUUGGCUCGUCGAAUCUCUCGACGUCAUCGCCCGGAUCUCACGGAUCGACGACGGCACCCACGCCGUCCUCUAACGGUAAGGACAUGAUCAAGAAGGAGACGCCGGAUUCGACUCCGACGCCACCGCCGGCCCCGCCAUCGCCUCCUCCGCGCCAGAGCAGCAAAUUCAGCGCCGGGGCUCGAGUGGGCGGCGCUUAUUUCGCCGUCCGUGACGAUCUCAACUCUACGACGACGACGACGUCGUCGAUCGCCGAAGUGGUGAUGGAUGAUCGCGGCGGAAGCGCCAGUCCUAACCCCAGUACCACGUGAAUGGAGAAAACUAAAAACUAAAAACGAAACAAAAUCAUUUUAUUUUUCUUAAAUGAUUUUGAUUACACACAGAAAUUAUUCACGCCAGAAUAAUUUUGGGCUAUAAUUGACGGAAGCCACAGAGAGAGAGAAAUACGAUUGGAUUGAACGGGUCUACAACCCCCCCCCCCUUAUUUUGUUUUCUACUCCCCACCCCAAUAUGAUCCAGUCCCGAUUCAAAAAGACAAAAAACUCAGGUUUCGUGUGUCUUGGUAACGCACGUCGUAUCAUCUUCUUCUUCUUUCACUACUUCUUUUCCCAUGUCUUUUUUUGUAUGGUUGUCUGAGAGUAACAGAAAACAAGAGUUUGAGUGUGUGCGUGUGUGUCAUUUGUGUGUGUGUGUGUGUGCAAAAGUGACACACAAUGAACUCCUCCCCCCCAUUUCCCUCACGACAACUCUACCUCAGCAAAAAACCAUUUUUUUUCCCUCUUUCAAGUAAUUACGUAACAAAUAAUUACAUUUCAUUGGCUUUCCGGCACACUGCCCGGUCAUUUAUAAGACUCCCGCCAUUGUUUCAAGUUUUUAUGAGCGGGAUCGUAGAAGUUUUUUUCUUAAUUUUCUACAUAAAUAGCUCCUCCCUUCUCCCUUUCUCUUGUGCUUGUUUUUCAUUAAUUUUCUUUUUUUUUUUUUGUGGAUGGCACCGGUGAUUCAUCCCCCAUACUACUCCCAACCCGUUGAUUUUUGCUACUACUACUACUGCUGAGACUACGAUGGGUGAUAGUAGUAGUAGUAGUAGACACAGACACAAAACCAGUGACUAAAUAGAAAAGACAAACGUCUAGGGAAACAUAAAAAACCAGUUACAACACAAUUUUUGUUUUUGUUUGUUUUCGUAAUUUCGCUUUUUUGAAUUUUUGGAACAACCCAAAACCCGGUUUUAAUUUUUUUUUGCGGAAUCGAAAACAAAAAUUGGCGGUUCUGACACUUCCGGAUGCUAAUAUAAGGUUUUUAAUUUACAGACUCGUUUAAACCCCCGUGAAUCAUAAUUUUUUUUUAGUGGAAAAGAGAAAAUAGUUAGUUAGUGUGUGUGCAAUACGAGGGAAAAAUUAACAGCGUUCUUUUUUUGAAUUAAUUGUCUUUUUUUUUCCUAGUGUGUAUGAGUGUUGAUUUCUUUAUUAACAUUUUUCUUUCCUCCCAUCCUUUUUAAUUUUAAAAAAGAAAUUUUUGUGAUUGGUAAAUGUUUCAUUUUUGGGCGUCAGGCUUGUUGUUUUUCUUCAAUUUUGUUUUGGAAAUUAUUUGUUUGCUGAUUGGCAAAAAAAAACGACUUUUGAUUGGAUUUUAAAAAAUAAUUGAUUUGGCGCGAAAAUUUCAAAAUGAUUGGAAAUUCAAUUCGGUCAAAAUUGUUUACACAUACACACACAAGGUAUCGGAUUGACUUCCGAUUUCGUUUGAAAGGCCCUCCCCCCUAAGAACGAAAAAGUAGAACGUUCUUUCUUUUAUAUUUAGUAAUAUUUUAGAUACAUUUUUUUUGGUUCUUUUCUUUCUGUGAGCGAUUUCAAAAUGAUUAAGAAAAAAGAAAACACAUUUUGAAAAAAACGAUUUGGGUAUUUUCUUUAUAUUUUUUUAUCUCGGAAUUCCACACACAAAACAAUCUUCGCCUUAAUGUGUUUUCUAUAAUGUUCAGAAUCUUUGUUUUUUUUUCUCUCUCUCUCUUCAAACUCUUCCGUGUGCGUGUCUCGUGUGCGUGUCAUUGUCCAGCGUGUCAAUACUUUUCUCCUUUUAAAAUUUUUUUUUAAACAAAAUUUUCUCGUGUCAGUGUUUCGGGAUUUUUCUAAUUUUUUUUUUAUUAUUAUUUUUUAACAUUAAAUUCUAUAUAUUAUACAUAAACGACCGUCAAUCAAAUCAUCUUGGGUGAUGAUUUAAGUUUUUUUCGAAAAGAAAGUAACAAUUUCCAAAGUAUUUGUUGGGUCUCUUUUUGUAUCGUUGCCGAGAAAGAAUUAACUUUUUUUUUUAAUUAUUAUUAUUUAAUUUGUUCAAUUUGAAAAUACCGCCAAUGACGUACACACUAACUACAAACACAACACCGAAUUUCCGGCCAAUCUCUUGGAAAAUUUUCUUUAAUUGAGUGGAUCUCGCUCAUUUGAAUAAUUUUAUUUUAUUUUUAACAUGGUGCCUUGUUAACCCCCCCCCUCUACACAAGUCAUUGACAGCAACCAGUUACCUCUCUUAUUGACUGUCAAUUCAUUGUUUAGAAACGAGAAAGAAAAUAAUCUUUUCAAAAUCUUUUUGGCACUCGUAAGACAUUUUUUUUCCAAUUUUCUAAAUUUCAAGAUGAUUCAAAUCAACACAGCUCAGGUGGCAUAAUAUAUAGAUUUCCCCGGACAACCGGCUACAGUCAAAUCACACAAAACUUUUGGGUCCAUUUCAUCAAAUUUAAAUUUAAAAAAAAAAGUAAAAAUUAAUUUUGAAAAGAAAACAUGUCAACUUUCUCUCUUAAUGUAAUUAUAAACAAUUUUGUUUUUGUUUUUUAAAACUUUCAAUUAAUAAUAUUGUCUUGAUUAUUAAUAAUAAUAAUCUUUUUUUGGAAUUGCGCGCUGGUGCGUAUGUUUGUUGUAAUUGCACUGCGGAUGAUUGACUCUGCUGUUGCUGCUCUAAUUUGACGCUCUGGGACAUUCAAAUCGAGACGAUGAACGGACGAAUUUAAUUAUUAAAUUCUGUUUUUAAAUAUUAAUUUUGUCGAAAGAAAAGAGGCAAUGUUAACGACUAUGGAAGCACCUCUUUGCUCAUGUCUACCUCAGGAAAUGAUUUUUUCCAAACUAUUGCUCCUCUCUUUUUUAAUUGUGCGCGCGCCUCUCAUUUUUCUUGAAAUUUCAGUUGUUUCACAAGUUUAUUUCAAAUCUCGCGCCAAAUCAAGACAUCGACACUUUCCCCACAUCAUUUCUGUCAAAAGUCCCGCCGUUUUGUUGACUAGCGCUGCCACCUGUGGGUAAGAUGGCGAACUGGUCAUUCAAAAAGACAAUUUAUUUUAUUUGAAUUCAUCAAAACCCAUCAUACUAUAAAGCAAAUCCAGUUAAUCAGUUCAACCUUUUUCUUUAAUUUCCCCCAUUUUUUUGACGUUUUUUUUUUAAACGAAAUUAAAUAAAAGUUGUACAAUUCAAACAAAACCAGCGCUAGACUCAGGGUAAACUUAAAAAAGAAAAAACAUCAACUGUCCGUCGAAACUUGAUAUACCUCCCAUCAAUUCUUGAAGUCAGAUUUUAAUUACACAUAUUAUAAAACGUUGCGAUGAAGAUGGUCCAAGCAUGAUGUAGCACACAGUUCCUAUAUUAGCAGAUUUGUUUCUUCUUUGCCUUUUCUCUCUUAGACCGUUCAACCACACAGCAAAAUGAAAACCAUUCAUAUUAAUAAUUAAUCGCCGCCAUACAAUACAAACCCACUACCACAUAUUUUGAUAACAGUAAUAAUAUCUCCAUCCGAUAUCUCCGAAUCAAUCUACAAGUAUCUAUAAUAAUAAUAAUAAUAAUAACUUUUAUAUUUUUUAAGAAACAUACUAUAUAUUUGACAUAUAUUCAUAUAAGAACUAUCUCAGGUGCAAAACUCAAUCCAAUCUUUUUAUUCAUUAUUAUUUUGUUUUGAUCAUUUUUUUUCGAAUGACCCAUUUCACGCAGACGUUGAAAAUCCACCCCAUCCUAUUUAAUAAGUAAAACAAACAAAAAAUAAUCCCAUCGAAUUCAAAGCGCAAAUUUUUUCAUCCCCAACAAACCCCACAAUUAUUUCGGCAUCAAAACAAAAUGAAGACACACCCUCCCGCCCAAAUGAGAGACGAAGAAGAAGAAGAAAAAAUAAUUUGAUUCAUUUUGAUACGCGAGAAUGAAAGAGAAAAAAAAUACCCCAUAAAAUUCGUACAGAUCAGCAUUUGGUCGUUUCAGACUUGUUUAUACGUAAAGCAGACCAAUGAACUAUUUGUAAUGACAGAAUCAGAAGAAGUUAGAGAACACACACAAAAAAUACCCGAAAUACGCGACCCGUUGAAAAUAAAAUUCCUUCUCUCUUUUUUUCCCCCUUAAAAACUCCUUCCCUUUUUUCGUUGUGCAUGUGGCGAGUACGUCAAAAAUUAUACCUCUGAUUGUGUCGAGUUGUUGAUGAUGACAACCAAAAUUUGGAAAAAAAAACGAAAAGGUGUGUGUUUUCUUAUGAAUUUCUUUUUUUUUUUAGAUGACUGUGCUACCAUUAUUCACACAUGUUUCGUGUUCUCCCCCCCCCCCAAUUGGACACUCCCAUUUUGUUUGUUUUCUUCUUUUUCAAAAAAUUGUUUUUCAUUUGAAUUUUGAUUGGCUUGAAAAAAAAGGAAAAAAAUGUUUUUUUUUUGUUUUGUUUUCACAAAAUUUCCGACCCGGUUUCACUUAUUUCUCUUUAUUCUGAUUGCGUAACUAAAAAAAAACACAUUGGCGUUUAAAUCCCUCCCCGGUAAACAUGUCUCGGUUCGAAAUUUUUCAAUUUUUUUGGUUUUCCCCCCCUUUUAUUUUAUUAUUUUUUUGCCCAAUUUUUUCACCUAUUUGUUUGUUUAUUUUUUCCUCCAAAUUUCCGGUAGUUAAAAAAAAAAGAAAAAACAAAAGAAAAACAGACUAUGAAAAAAAUUGUCGCUCUUCAAUCGUCUCUCUUUCGCGUCUGCACCUCAUCAAAUUCUCGUUGGAUUUUUCAAUUCGUCUCUUUUGUUAUUUCGUCCUAUUUCCUUCAAUAUUUGUUUUCAUUUUUUUUUGUUUCUUGAUGCGAGAAUUAGAAAAAAACUUUGAAAAAAGAAAAAAAAAGUUUCGACGAAAAACAAACUUGAACGAAUAAAGUUUAAAAACAAAAACAAUUGAAUGAUUCAAAACUACAUGAAUUCGACUGUCGGAAUAUUUUUGCUGUUGAAAAUGUUGAUUGAAUUGUUGGCCAGUUGUUUUCUCCCCCCAAAUUUGUUCUGUUCGGUUUCGGUAGUCGAUACAUUUUUUAAAAUUUUUCAGACAAAAAAGUUUCUUGUUUUUAUUUUUCCCUCUUCAAAAAAUCCACUUUUUCUCUCUCCCUACCCCCCUAUACAAUUUGUAGUUGCUUGACUGUUGACGUAAAAAAAACAAACAAAAAUACACCCUUUUUGAUGUGAAA